rnacentral:rRNA from 1 species
CCUACGGGAGGCAGCAGUGGGGAAUAUUGCACAAUGGGGGGAACCCUGAUGCAGCGACGCCGCGUGAGUGAAGAAGUAUUUCGGUAUGUAAAGCUCUAUCAGCAGGGAAGAAAAUGACGGUACCUGACUCAGAAGCCCCGGCUAACUACGUGCCAGCAGCCGCGGUAAUACGGAGGGUGCAAGCGUUAUCCGGAUUUACUGGGUGUAAAGGGAGCGUAGACGGCAGAGCAAGUCUGAAGUGAAAGCCCGCGGCCCAACUGCGGGACUGCUUUGGAAACUGCCCGGCUAGAGUGCGGGAGAGGUAAGCGGAAUUCCUAGUGUAGCGGUGAAAUGCGUAGAUAUUAGGAGGAACACCAGUGGCGAAGGCGGCGUACUGGACAGUAACUGACGCUGAGGCUCGAAAGCGUGGGGAGCAAACAGGAUUAGAUACCCGAGUAGUC